rnacentral:rRNA from 1 species
GAUGAACGCUGGCGGCGUGCUUAACACAUGCAAGUCGAACGGAAAGGCCCAAGCUUGCUUGGGUACUCGAGUGGCGAACGGGUGAGUAACACGUGGGUGAUCUGCCCUGCACUUCGGGAUAAGCCUGGGAAACUGGGGCUAAUACCGGAUAGGACGAUGGGUUGGAUGCCAUUGUGGAGAGAUUUUUCGGUGUGGGAUGAGUUCGCGGGCUAUCAGCUUGUCGGUGGGGUAUUGGCCUACCAAGGCGUGGCCGUGUAGCCGCGCUGAGAGGGUGUACGGCCAUAUUGGGACUGAGAUACGGCCCAGGCACCGACGGGAGGCAGCAGGGGGGAAGAUUGAACAAGGGGCGCAAGCCGGAUGAAGCGGCGCCGCGUGGGGGAUGACGGCCUUCGGGUUGUAAACUCCAUUCGCUAGGGACGAAGCGUUUUUGGGACGUUACCUGGAGGAGAAGCACCGGCGAACUACGU